UUUUUUUUUUUUCAUUCCACAGAAUUAGUAGAAAUAGAGGUUUGUAAGCUAGCUUACCUCAGUCUUUGUCUAAUGUCAAAAUAAUCAGAAAAACCAAAUAUUUCAAAGCUCAGAAACAUACUUUUUCCAGAUGUAAAUACAGUCAUGCCACCAUUUACCAGAAGAUCACCUAACUUUCAUAUCUUGAGAUAUUACUUCAACACAUGAGCUUUGUAGAGUAAUUUUUUACUAAAUAACCAAUAUGCUAGGAAAGUAGUGGGUAGUAAUUCCACAAGUUUUUUGUAAACAGGCAAAUUAACAAAUAAAAAGAUCAUGUAUGUAAUAAAAAUCAAGAGAAAAAGAUGGAUUUUCAUCAUCUAAUGAUUUAAAUAUAAAUUCAUCAGAUCAGCCUUUACAACUCAGAGUGGUCCUAGUCUUUCUUCUUAGCCUCAGCUACCUCUGCCAGGAACCUAAGCUCCCAGCAAUGAUAUCACCCACUAUUAUCUGGACGGUCAUGUUUUCCCACAUUCCUGCCUUUACUCACUCAUUGUCUUCCACCUGGAAUGCAUUUUCCUCUCCAGCUGCCACCCCAGACCCAACAAAAUCCAAUCUAUCCUUCAAGGGGCAUUUUUUUUUUUUUUUUUUUUUUUUGGUCUUUUUCUAGGGCCAUGCCUGCUGCAUAUGGAAGUUCCCAGGCCAGGGGUCUAAUCAGAGCUGUAGCUGCUGGCCUACACCACAGCCACUGCAACGGGAUCUGAGCCACAUCUGUGACCUACACUACAGCUCAAGGCAACUCUGGAUCCCUGACUUGAGCAAGGCCAGGGAUCGAACCCACAACCUCAUGGUUCCUAGUCAGAUUCAUUAACCACUGAGCCACGACGGGAACUCCAUCAGGUGGCAUUUUGAAUACAACUCACUCCCCUGAGUCCCUUUCAGAAGUGAUCUACUUAUCCUGUGACUUUUUCUGGCUAGUUAGGUAUAAUUUCCAAGUGGAGUGUAUUGAUUUUUUGUAUUUAAAUGAUUUCAGUGUUCAUCACUCUUUCUAAAUUACAAAAUUUUUAGAGUUCAUUUCAGAAUCUGUGUCAAGUUUAGUAUCCAACAGAGGGUAAGUGCUCAGUACAUAUUUUUUUUUCAAAUGAGUUGGAUUAAACUGAGACGUUCCUGCCAUUUGUCUAAUGAGGGACUUUGAAGGCAGAACUUGGUCAGUGUUGGAAAAGGGGUGAGGAUAAAUGCCAAAGGCAUUAAAAGUGAAGGGAACUUAUUGGACAUUGCAAGCAAGCACUCUGUCAUUCUUAGGCUCUUUAUCCUAUUGUAUUUUAAAUCAUUCCACUUAUCUAAUGCCAUGUGUAGUCCCUCACUAUAAUGACGCAGGCACUUUGUUCAGAUCAUCACUACAUCUAUAGCACUUAGAAGAGUUUAAGAAAUAUUGUAGGUGCUCAAUCAUCUUUGAUGGGUAAAUGAGUGAACUAAUAAGGAUGCAGAGGUGACAGCAGAUUGUCCAGCUAAAAGGAUAACAGCACCACCAACAGAUUAAGAGAGAGGGGGGUGGGAAUAAGUUUGGAAUGAAGACAAUGAUUUCAGUUUAGUUAGAAUGGGUAGGUGGACAUCCAAGUAAAGGCAUUGAGGAAGCAACUGAAACUUGACAUUGGAAUUUGAGAAACAAGCCAGACUCAGAUACGUAGAUUUGGAGCUUAUGACAUGGUUGUAGUAGUUGAAGCCAUAGAUUACAUAGUGUUAUGAAGGGAAGAAUACAGGAGAUCUGCUCUGACUUUAUCAAUGGGAAGCAGCUCCACUCCAGGGCUGGGCUAAGAGCCCCAGCAUCAAUAAGAAGUGAUCAUAGAAGUAAGGAGAAAACCAGGCAUAGCCUCUCUUCUUUUUGUGACUCGGCUCUCUGCUAUUUGACAUUAUUGAAUUUCUCUCUCCACUUGGUUUCUCUAUUUUUUUUAACUAGUCCUGACUUCCUAUUCCACACUAAAUGUCUUAUGUGUUUAUUUCCUAAAUAUCUUUUGAAUUUAUUCUACUUUCUUUACAUCCACCACCAUAGUUAUUGUUCAGAAACAUCAUCAUCUUUACCCAAAUUCUUUAGCACCUUCCUUACUGGUCCUCCAUCUUCUGGGCACCUGCCUGCCUAUUCCAUACCCCACUGGAAUGAUGAGAAAGAAAUAGAUCAGAAAGAAAUAAAAUCUGAUUGUGCCGUUAAAUGGCUCAGACUCCUUCAGCAGCCACUCACGACCCAUGUCACCUUGUCCAAACCCUUGAGUGACCUGGCUUCUACCUUCUUGAACAGCUUAAUCUCCCUCCCCUCGUUCACCUUCUCUGCCAUGCCCCCCACCCCACCUACUCCAAGCCACUUGUAGUUUCCUGAUUGUUCCAUGCUGUUCCUUGUGCUUUUGACAUUUUCCAAUCAAUAGUCUCCUAACUUUUUAAAAAAACAGUCCAAGAACUGCCUUUUUAAGAAGCUUCUCUUAUUCCUAGCAGAGUUAGAUCCUUGCUCCACUAUGGCUCUACCUAUUGUUUCAUUGGCUGCCAUCCCACUGCCUUUAUCACCUCCUUGAGGGCAAGGACUGGAUUCUUUUAAAGACAUUUGCAUUCUCAGCAUCAACUCUGGUGUUUGGCACAUGGCAGAAGGACAAUUAAAAUUGAUCAAAUAAAUGGACAGAAAGGAAAAGAGAGUUUCAAGGAAGAAGAUGUGGUGAUCAGAGAAGUUGGAAGCGGCCUGAUGUUCAGGUUUAUAGAAAAAUGAUUCUAAGAGAGCAGAUUCAGCAGAGUACAGGAGGCAGAGAAGCCAGAUUACUGAGUGGGGGCAAUGAAUAAUAUAAACCAUGCUUUUAAUAACUGUGCUGGGGAAGCCAAGGUAGCUUGCUGGAGAAGCAGGUAUGGAGAAAUUUUAAUUUUUAAAUUUUAAUUUAAUUUUGUUUUUAGUUUUGCUUUUUUUUUUCUUGCUGCACUUGUAGUUCCUGGGCCAGGGAUAGAGCUUGUGCCAUAGUAGUGACCCAAGCUACUGUAGUGACAAGCCAGAUACUUAACCCACUUAGCCACAUGGGAACUCCCUGUUUUUGGUUUUGGAUGAAGAAGAAUGAGCACAAACAAAUGAUCCAAUAACAAGGGAGCUGAUGCUAAUUCAAGAAAAAUGACAAAUGGGAGUUCCCGUCAUGGCUCAGUGGUUAACAAAUCUGACUAGCAUUCAUGAAGGUGCAGGUUCAAUCCCUGGCCUUGCUCAGUGGGUUAAGGACUGGCAUUGAUGUGAGCUGUGGUGUAGGUCGCAGACGCAGCUUGGAUUCUGUGUUGCUGUGGCUGUGGUGGAGGCCGGCAGCUACAUUCCAAUUCCACCCCCAGCCUGGGAACCUCCAUAUGCCGUGGGUGCAGCCCUAAAAAGC
rnacentral:lncRNA from 1 species